UACGUAGGGUGCAAGCGUUGUCCGGAAUUAUUGGGCGUAAAGAGCUCGUAGGCGGUUUGUCGCGUCUGCUGUGAAAACUGGAGGCUCAACCUCCAGCCUGCAGUGGGUACGGGCAGACUAGAGUGCGGUAGGGGAGAUUGGAAUUCCUGGUGUAGCGGUGGAAUGCGCAGAUAUCAGGAGGAACACCGAUGGCGAAGGCAGAUCUCUGGGCCGUAACUGACGCUGAUGAGCGAAAGCCAGGGGAGCAAACGGG
rnacentral:rRNA from 1 species